UACGUAGGUGGCAAGCGUUGUCCGGAUUUAUUGGGUUUAAAGGGUGCGUAGGUGGCCCUGUAAGUCAGUGGUGAAAUAUCUCAGCUUAACUGAGAGGGUGCCAUUGAUACUGCAGGGCUUGAGUACAGAUGAGGUAGGCGGAAUUGACGGUGUAGCGGUGAAAUGCAUAGAUAUCGUCAGGAACACCAAUAGCGAAGGCAGCUUACCGGGCUGUAACUGACGCUGAGGCGCGAAAGUGUGGGGAGCAAACAGG
rnacentral:rRNA from 1 species